GUAGAACACUUCGGUGUUUGAGACCGGCGCACGGGUGCGUAACGCGUAUGCAAUCUACCUUGUACAGGGGAAUAGCCCAGAGAAAUUUGGAUUAAUGCCCCAUAGUAUAUAACCUUCGCAUGUUGGUUAUAUUAAAGUUCCAACGGUACAAGAUGAGCAUGCGUCCCAUUAGUUAGUUGGUAAGGUAACGGCUUACCAAGACGAUGAUGGGUAGGGGUCCUGAGAGGGAGAUCCCCCACACUGGUACUGAGACACGGACCAGACUCCUACGGGAGGCAGCAGUGAGGAAUAUUGGUCAAUGGUCGCAAGACUGAACCAGCCAUGCCGCGUGCAGGAAGACGGUCCUAUGGAUUGUAAACUGCUUUUAUACAGGAAGAAACCCUCCCACGUGUGGGAGCUUGACGGUACUGUAGGAAUAAGGAUCGGCUAACUCCGUGCCAGCAGCCGCGGUAAUACGGAGGAUCCAAGCGUUAUCCGGAAUCAUUGGGUUUAAAGGGUCCGUAGGCGGUCUUAUAAGUCAGUGGUGAAAGCCCAUCGCUCAACGAUGGAACUGCCAUUG
rnacentral:rRNA from 1 species